rnacentral:rRNA from 1 species
GAUCCUGGCUCAGGACGAACGCUGGCGGCGUGCUUAACACAUGCAAGUCGGACGAGAAUCUGUGGAACGAGGAUUCGUCCAAGUGAAGCAGAGGACAGUGGCGGACGGGUGAGUAACGCGUGAGGAACCUGCCUUUCAGAGGGGGACAACAGUUGGAAACGACUGCUAAUACCGCAUGACACAUUGAAGUCGCAUGGCUUUAAUGUCAAAGAUUUAUCGCUGAAAGAUGG